rnacentral:tRNA from 1 species
GCGCCCGUAGCUCAGCUGGAUAGAGCGUCGGCCUCCGGAGCCGAAGGCCGCAGGUUCGAAUCCUGCCGGGCGCGCCA